AAUAUAAUGCCAUACACGUAAAAGACGUCACCAAUUCUUGUUACUCUUUUUCCUUUUUUGCUGUUUUUUGCUCUUCGACUUCUCCUUUUUACUCGAUUUCGCG
rnacentral:ribozyme from 15 species